rnacentral:rRNA from 1 species
AUUUAUCGGUGAUGGAUGGGGAUGCGUCUGAUUAGCUUGUUGGCGGGGUAACGGCCCACCAAGGCGACGAUCAGUAGGGGUUCUGAGAGGAAGGUCCCCCACAUUGGAACUGAGACACGGUCCAAACUCCUACGGGAGGCAGCAGUGAGGAAUAUUGGUCAAUGGACGAGAGUCUGAACCAGCCAAGUAGCGUGCAGGAUGACGGCCCUAUGGGUUGUAAACUGCUUUUAUAAGGGAAUAAAGUGAGUCUCGUGAGACUUUUUGCAUGUACCUUAUGAAUAAGGACCGGCUAAUUCCGUGCCAGCAGCCGCGGUAAUACGGAAGGUCCGGGCGUUAUCCGGAUUUAUUGGGUUUAAAGGGAGCGUAGGCCGGAGAUUAAGCGUGUUGUGAAAUGUAGACGCUCAACGUCUGCACUGCAGCGCGAACUGGUUUCCUUGAGUACGCACAAAGUGGGCGGAAUUCGUGGUGUAGCGGUGAAAUGCUUAGAUAUCACGAAGAACUCCGAUUGCGAAGGCAGCUCACUGGAGCGCAACUGACGCUGAAGCUCGAAAGUGCGGGUAUCGAACAGGAUUAGAUACCCUGGUAGUCCGCACGGUAAACGAUGGAUGCCCGCUGUUGGUCUGAAUAGGUCAGCGGCCAAGCGAAAGCAUUAAGCAUCCCACCUGGGGAGUA